rnacentral:rRNA from 1 species
AAAAAAGAAGCAGUGGGAUUAAGUGAUGGGGUGACUGCGUACCUUUUGUAUAAUGGGUCAGCGACUUAUAUUUUGUAGCGAGGUUAACCGAAUAGGGGAGCCGAAGGGAAACCGAGUCUUAACUGGGCGAGUAGUUGCAAGGUAUAGACCCGAAACCCGGUGAUCUAGCCAUGGGCAGGUUGAAGGUUGGGUAACACUAACUGGAGGACCGAACCGACUAAUGUUGAAAAAUUAGCGGAUGACUUGUGGCUGGGGGUG